rnacentral:rRNA from 1 species
UACGGAGGAUGCGAGCGUUAUCCGGAUUUAUUGGGUUUAAAGGGUGCGUAGGCGGGCAUUUAAGCCGGCGGUCAAAUGUCGGGGCUCAACCCCGUCGAGCCGUUUGAACUGGCGGCCUCGAGUGGGCGAGAAGUAUGCGGAAUGCGUGGUGUAGCGGUGAAAUGCAUAGAUAUCACGCAGAACUCCGAUUGCGAAGGCAGCGUACCGGCGCCCGACUGACGCUGAGGCACGAAAGCGUGGGUAUCGAACAGG